AUGUGUCUCUGACAGACCUGGAGCAGUUAACGCCUGCUGCUAAGGUUUCCACUAUAGACGCAAGAAAAAGAAGGUCCUCGUGCUUUCUAUCUAUCAGGUUGUGGCAGCCAAGAUUGAAUGGGGGAAUACAGGA
rnacentral:snoRNA from 1 species